rnacentral:lncRNA from 1 species
GGCAUGAACAGCAUAGGGCUGAACUGAAAAGAUCCAGCACUGCAGUGUGUGUGGUCAGGAUCGUUGACAUGUCAGGAACUUGGAUGUGGGGCCCAGAAGAAAAGAACAAAGCCCUGUUUCUCUGCUUUUUAUUUUCUUAUAAUCAUACCUCUUUUGUGAAGAUCUCAGCUGUUUCAAGAGGAAGGGAAGAAAACCCCAACAGGCAGCCCUCUGCCUUGUCUCAAACUCAGCUCCCUGCAGUCCCAGCACCUUCCUGUGACUGCACACAUACACAUACACGCAUGUAAAGCCGGCUGUUCAGGGUUUGUACCACCUUCUACUGUCUGUACUUCACACAAUUCCCAGCCAACCAACUGCUUUCUAACUAACUGCUUUCUGGGCGGUCUCACCCUGUCCUGCCCACUCCAACAUCAUGCAUUUCUUCCUUCCUCAAUGUUUCCUCCUCACACGUCAGAGCUACAGGUCAGUGCUGUCACCACGGGCAGAUCAGUUGAAGAACAGAAGACUUUUCCCAUGUUUCCCUACUGGUUUCUUACGGCCUUCCUGGUCCCUUUAGGCUGGGCUCUUCAGCAAAGCCCAGACUCAGUUGUCCGACUGGGAGACUCUCUGACUCUGAACUGUUCGCACAAGGAGAGUGGAACCUGGACCAUGUACUGGUACAAGCUGCCAGUGGGGAAGAACGCCUCUUUGCAGCUGGUUGUACGUUCAGCGGAAGGCACCAAGGCAGAGUUUGAGGAGGAAUUCAAAAGCCGCUUCCAGAGCAGCGGCACAAAGGCGAACUCCUUAUCAGUGAGGAUAGAUCAUGUUGUACUCAGUGACUCAGGCACUUAUUUCUGCGCUAAGCAAGAUACACUGUGACACAAAGGCUGGAGCAGCAUAGCGCAAACCUCUCUCCUUACAAGUGGAGACCUGUCCCCAGCACACACAGUCCACUGUGUACCAGGGAAACCAUUUCUUCACUUUUGGCCUCCAGCUCUGUCCCCUUAAGAAAAGUAGUGGUUUCCUGUCUGUGUCUUCUGCUUC